GGAUAUGUUGACGCAGCGGACGGGUGAGGAGUAACUGAGCAGCCUGUCCCUCCCUGGCGGAUGACACAGCGAAAAAUUGUUCUGCUAAUACAUAAGACCCGAAAAUCACAUGAUUUUGCAGUCAAAGGAGCUCUGCGGUAAGGGGAGGGCUCGCGUCUGAUUAGAUAGUUGGUGAGGUUACGGCCCCACAAGUGGACGAUUGGAUAGCGACCUGAGAGGGUGAUCGGCCACAUUGGGGAUGAGACACGGCCCCAACUUCUACGGGAGGCAGCAGUUGGGAAUAUUGGCCAAUGGGGGAAACCCUGACCCAGCAACGCCGCGUGAGAGGAAGAGAGGUAUUCGGAUCGUAAACCUCUGUCCUACGUGAAGAGCAAGAGACGGUAGCCUAGGAGGAAGCCCCGGCUAACUACGUGCCAGCAGCCGCGGUAAUACGUAGGGGGCGAGCGUUGUCCGGAAUGAUUGGGCGUAAAGGGCGCGUAGGCGGCCCGCAAAUUCUGAAAGUGAAAGUCCUGCGUUCAACGUGGGAAUUGCUUUGGAUACUGUCGGGCUUGAGUGCAGGAGAGGUAAGUGGAAUUCCCAGUGUAGCGGUGAAAUGCGUAGAGUCAGGGAGGAACACCAGUGGCGAAGGCGACUUACUGGACUGUAACUGACGCUGAGGCGUGAAAGUGUGGGGAGCAAACAGGAUUAGAUACCCUGGUAGUCCACACUGUAAACGAUGAAUGCUAGGUGUAGGGGGUCUCGACCCGUUGUGUCCGGCAGUUAACCCAAUAAUCAUUCCCCUUGGGGAGUAGGUCGCCAAGGUUGAAAUUCAAGGGAAUGAAGGGGGGCCCCCCCAAGCAGCGGACCAUGUGGUUUAAUUGAACGCAACGCGAAGCACCUUACCAGUGUCGACACAUCCAGUUCAACUCGUAGAGAUACAAGGUC
rnacentral:rRNA from 1 species